rnacentral:rRNA from 1 species
UCCUACGGGAGGCAGCAGUGGGGAAUAUUGCACAAUGGGGGAAACCCUGAUGCAGCGACGCCGCGUGAGUGAGGAAGUAUUUCGGUAUGUAAAGCUCUAUCAGCAGGGAAGAAAAUGACGGUACCUGACUAAGAAGCCCCGGCUAACUACGUGCCAGCAGCCGCGGUAAUACGUAGGGGGCAAGCGUUAUCCGGAUUUACUGGGUGUAAAGGGAGCGUAGACGGAGGAGCAAGUCUGAAGUGAAAUACCCGGGCUCAACCUGGGAAUUGCUUUGGAAACUGUAUGGCUGGAGUGCUGGAGAGGUA